UCUGCUUUCAGAGCCACAGCCAAAUCUCUGCUUAAAGGAAAGCGGUGCUGGUGCCUCUCCUCCCGUCUCCCAUACAGAGCUGUGUCCACGUGGAUGUGGGGGAAGAGCUGGAGGUAGCAAGGCAGCUCCAAGCAUCCCUGGAUCCUAGUGCUUCUUUGCCAGAGAUGGAAAUACCCUUUUUUUAUGCAGCCUUCGAGCAAACUGAGCUUUCCUAUGAGCAGCUCCGAGGGAACACGGCGGGAGGCAGCGCAGGGGACCUGCUGGGCCAGCUCAGAGGCUCCCACUCCAAAACAUCAGCAGCUCUAUCCCACCUGUGGCAGCAGAACAGCAAGGAGAGGAGACCCAGACUUCAGCUGGGAUAGUUAGGGCAGCACAGAGCCAGCACCAGCACAAAAACCUGGAAUUACUGACCAUUUCUACCAGGAAAGACAAUGACAACCCACCCUGCCCCAGUGACCUUCAUCCCGGGGCAGGAGGAGAUGGAGCAUUAGCAAUGGGACUGUUGCUUCCCACAAACACAUGUCCCUGCUUUCUCUGCUGUAUGAUAUACAAAGAGUUUGUUAAAAACC